GGUGAACGCUGGCGGCGUGCCUAAGACAUGCAAGUCGAGCGGGCCGCGGGGUUUUACUCCGUGGUCAGCGGCGGACGGGUGAGUAACGCGUGGGUGACCUACCCGGAAGAGGGGGACAACCCGGGGAAACACGGGCUAAUCCCCCAUGUGGACCCGCCCCUUGGGGUGGGUCCAAAGGGCUUUGCCCGCUUCCGGAUGGGCCCGUCGCCCAUCAGCAAGUUGGUGGGGUGAUGGCCCACCAAGGGGCCGACGGGUAGCCGGCCUGGGAGGGUGGCCGGCCACCGGGCCACUUUGACACGGGCCCCACUCCUACGGGCGUCAGCAGUGCGGCAUCUUCCGCAAUGGGCGAAAGCCUGACGGCGUGACGCCGCUUGGAGGCAGAAGCCCUUCGGGGUUUAAACUCCUGAACCCGGGACGAAAGCCCCGACGAGGGGACUGACGGUACCGGGGUAAUAGCGCCGGCCAACUCCGUG
rnacentral:rRNA from 1 species